UUUGACAUAAAUAUAAAAGGUCCAGCCUGCCCAGUGACCUAGUUCAACGGCCGCGGUAUCCUAACCGUGCGAAGGUAGCGUAAUCACUUGUUCUUUAAAUGAGGACUAGUAUGAAUGGCACCACGAGGGUUAAACUGUCUCCUUUUUCUAAUCAGUGAAACUAAUCUCCCCGUGAAGAAGCGGGGAUUACCAUAUAAGACGAGAAGACCCUAUGGAGCUUAAAACAAAUUAACACCUACUUCCAUCUAUCUUUAUUCCUGAGCUAACACAUAAAAUACAGCAUUAUUGAUUAAUAGUUUUCGAUUGGGGUGAUCAUGGAGUAAAAAUCAACCUCCACGACGAAAGGGCCACUUCCCUGAGCUAAAAGCUACAACUUUAAGCACUAAAAAAUUAACGCACUUUGACCCAAAUUUUUGAGCAACGAAC
rnacentral:rRNA from 1 species